rnacentral:rRNA from 1 species
UACAGAGGGUGCAAGCGUUAAUCGGACUUACUGGGCGUAAAGCGCACGUAGGUGGUUAAGUAAGUUAGUUGUGAAAUCCCUGGGCUUAACCUGGGAACUGCAAUUAAGACUGCUAGACUAGAGUCGAAGAGAGGGAAGCGGAAUUUCCGGUGUAGCGGUGAAAUGCGUAGAUAUCGGAAGGAACAUCAGUGGCGAAGGCGGCUUCCUGGAUUCAGACUGACACUGAGGAGCGAAAGCGUGGGUAGCGAACAGG